AGAGUAAAUUGAAUAGUCGCGUAUAGCAAGGUCGAAAGGCAGCGUACGAGGAAAGUCCGGGCUCCACAGAGCAAUGAUGCUGGAUAACGUCCAGUGAGGGAAACCUUAAGGAAAGUGCAACAGAAAAUAACCGCCUAAGCAUUUGUUUAGGUAAGGAUGAAAAGGCGAGGUAAGAGCUCACCGCUGGUAUGGUGACAUAUCGGGACUGUGUAAACCCCAUCUGGAGCAACACCUAAGCAAGAAGGCUAAGACUGCUCGUCAUCUUCUUAAUUUGGUGGCUUGAGACAUAUAGUAAUAUAUGUACUAGAUAAAUGACUAUUCACGACAGAACCCGGCUUAUAGAUUUACUUAUAUA
rnacentral:RNase_P_RNA from 1 species